rnacentral:rRNA from 1 species
CCUACGGGUGGCUGCAGUGGGGAAUAUUGCACAAUGGGCGCAAGCCUGAUGCAGCCAUGCCGCGUGUGUGAAGAAGGCCUUCGGGUUGUAAAGCACUUUCAGCGGGGAGGAAGGCGUUAAGGUUAAUAAUCUUGGCGAUUCACGUUACCCGCAGAAGAAGCACCGGCUAACUCCGUGCCAGCAGCCGCGGUAAUACGGAGGGUGCAAGCGUUAAUCGGAAUUACUGGGCGUAAAGCGCACGCAGGCGGUCUGUCAAGUCGGAUGUGAAAUCCCCGGGCUCAACCUGGGAACUGCAUUCGAAACUGGCAGGCUAGAGUCGUGUAGAGGGGGGUAGAAUUCCAGGUGUAGCGGUGAAAUGCGUAGAGAUCUGGAGGAAUACCGGUGGCGAAGGCGGCCCCCUGGACAAAGACUGACGCUCAGGUGCGAAAGCGUGGGGAGCAAACAGGAUUAGAUACCCGUGUAGUC